CAAAAAACAAACAAAAACCAUUAAAAGUCAAGUUACAAAAGAAAAGAGUAAUAAUAAAUAUCUCUAUAUUUGAUUAUUUACUGACCUUUAAUGGUGAACUUUCUAUUUUCAUUGAGGUUAAAGAUACUAUUUAGAGACCUUUUAUUUUAUAUUGAAGGAGUCCCUUUAGCAUUUCUUGUUGGGUAAGUCUAGAAUACUAAUGCACUCCCUCAGCUCUUCAUUUUCUAAGAACAUCUAAAUUUCUUAUUUUUGCAGGUGAAUGUUACUAAAUAUAGUAUUCUUGGUUGAUAUUUUUGCUUUUUUUAAAAAAGUAUUUUCAACAUUUCCUCUCACUGCCUUCUAGCCUGCAAAGUUUCUGUUGAAAAAUACACAUAAUCUUAUACAGUUUCCCUUUAUGUGACAAGUCUUUUUUGUUGCUGCUAUCAAGACUGUUUCUUUGUCUUUGACUUUUGAUAAUUUCUGUAUAGUAUGUCUCUGAAUGUCCUUGGGUUCGUUUUAGUUAGCAUUUUAGUUUAGUUAGUUGACCAAGCUUCUUGAAUUUGUAUAUUUAUUUCUUUCCUUAGAUUGGGGAUGUUUGAACAUUAUUUCUACAAUGGUGAUUUCGAAUCUUCUGUCUUCCUGUGAAUCUCCAAUAGUUUGUAUAUUGUUCCACCUGAUAGUAUCUCAAAAAUGUACUAGGGUUGGUUUUCUUCAUCAUUUUUUCUUUUUGCUCUUUGGAGCUGAUUCUUUUGAAUAACAUAUCUUUCAAUUUGCUCAUUGUUUUCUGUUCCUUUUGCAGUCUGCUGUUGAAUCCCUUAGUGAAAUAUUACUUCAGUUAUCAUAUUUAAGCUCCAGAAUUUCUGUUCUUUUGGUUUUAGUAGUUUCUCCUGUGAUUGGUAUUCUUUUUCUUUUCAUGUAAUGUUUGCCUGAUUUUAUUUAGUUAUCUGUCUCUGUUAUCUUUUUUAGCUCAUUAAGCAUCUUAAGGCAGUUGCUUUAAAUACCUGUCAAGUAAUUCAGAGGGCUGCCUAUUUUUAGGCUUGUUUUGUGGAGAUUGAUUGAUUGAUCAUAAUUUUAGCCAUAUUUCCCUGUCCUUUUGUAGGCCUCGUAAUUUUUGGUUUAGGUUUGGUAAAGCAACCACUUCUCCCAGUUAUUUUGUGUAAGCGUUGUGCAGGAUACCUUUACUAAUUAGCCUGCUAUAAAGGGUAUAGGAACAGCCACUCCUUUUCUGGGGAUGUGUUUUUUUCCUGGCGUGUGGAAGUACUAUUACUAAUGACUAUACAGCUGCUCUAAAAGUUCUGAUUUUCCUUAAGAGGCUCAUCCCUGCUUUUUCUCAAAAGCUUUCAAUUUCUGUUGUAUUUUUCUGCUCAUAAUCUCUCUCAAACUCACCCAUAAUCCACCUGACUCCUGCAGGUUCCCCACUGCUCCAGUGCAUCCUUCCGUCCCUUUUGUUUUCUGCACUGCCAGCAUGAUACACACAGUAUGCUGAUAUUCCUUCCCAUGUCUGAGUCAGAGAGCAGCUCUAAAUUGGGAAGCAAUGCCGGAAACAAGUCUCUUAAAAAUCAACUUGGAUUAACCUUUCAGUUACAUCUGAGUGAACUGCAGCUAUUUCAAGCUGAAAGGAAUAUUUCUGGAUGUAAACAUGUCGAAAAACCUAUCAACAAUUCCUUAGUUUCACCACUUCAAAAAAUUUAUUCUAGUGUCAAAUCCCACAUUUUAAAUAAAUACAGAAAUGAUUUUGAUGAUUCUCCAUUUCUCCCACAAGAACAAAAAGCACAAAUAAGGGAAAAACCGUGUGAAUGUAAUGAGCAUGGCAAAGCCUUUAGAGUGUCUUCAAGACUUGCUAACAAUCAAGUAAUCCACACUGCAGAUAACCCUUACAAAUGUAAUGAAUGUGACAAGGUCUUCAGUAACAGUUCAAACCUUGUACAACAUCAAAGAAUUCAUACUGGAGAGAAGCCUUACAAGUGUCAUGAAUGUGGCAAGCUCUUCAAUCGAAUUUCACUCCUUGCACGACAUCAGAGAAUACAUACUGGAGAGAAACCUUACAAAUGUCAUGAGUGUGGCAAAGUCUUCACUCAAAAUUCUCACCUUGCAAAUCAUCACAGAAUCCACACUGGAGAGAAACCUUACAAAUGUAAUGAGUGUGGCAAGGUCUUCAACAGAAAUGCACACCUUGCACGACAUCAGAAAAUUCAUAGUGGAGAGAAACCUUACAAAUGUAAGGAAUGUGGCAAAGCAUUUUCAGGGGGUUCAGGCCUUACUGCUCAUCUUGUAAUUCACACUGGAGAGAAACUUUACAAAUGUAAUAAAUGUGGCAAGGUCUUCAAUCGAAAUGCACACCUUACCAGACAUCAAAGAAUCCAUACUGGAGAGAAACCUUAUGAAUGUAAAGAAUGUGGCAAGGUCUUCAGGCACAAGUUUUGUCUAACCAAUCAUCAUAGAAUGCACACGGGAGAGCAACCUUACAAAUGUAAUGAAUGUGGCAAAGCAUUUAGAGACUGUUCAGGCCUUACUGCCCAUCUACUAAUUCACACUGGAGAGAAACCUUACAAAUGUAAAGAAUGUGCCAAGGUCUUCAGGCAUAGAUUAUCCCUAAGCAAUCAUCAGAGAUUUCAUACUGGAGAGAAACCUUACAGAUGUGAUGAAUGUGGCAAGGACUUCACUCGAAAUUCAAACCUUGCAAAUCAUCACAGAAUCCAUACUGGAGAGAAACCUUACAAAUGCAGUGAAUGUCACAAAGUCUUUAGUCACAAUUCACACCUUGCACGACAUAGGCAAAUUCAUACUGGAGAGAAGUCUUACAAAUGCAAUGAAUGUGGCAAGGUCUUCAGCCACAAGUUAUACCUAAAAAAACAUGAGAGAAUUCAUACUGGGGAGAAACCGUACAGAUGUCAUGAAUGUGGUAAGGACUUCACUCGAAAUUCAAACCUGGCAAAUCAUCACAGAAUCCAUACUGGAGAGAAACCGUACAGAUGAAAUGUGUGUGGUAAGAUCUUUAGUAAUAAUUCACACCUUGCACAGCAUGAGAUAAUUCAUUCAUGAGAGAGUUCUUACAAACUGAGUAUGGCAAACUCUUCAUGCUAAGUUCUAGCAUUAAUCAACAUCAGAGAUUCCAUACUAAAGAGAAAUCAUAGCAAUGUAUGUGAAUCAGGUCUCUUGAGGCCUGCCAAAUGACUAGAUAUCAAAACAUACAUCUUGGAUGAAACCAUACAGAUGGAUUAUGUAUGCUGAGGCUAUUAUUCAAGGACCAUUACUAUGGAACAUGAUAAGAUUUACACAAGCGAUAAUUCAGUCUCUAGUUCUCCAAUAUUUAUGAUACUGCAUGCUGCAGAAAAGUCACAGCUCCAAAUACGUUGAAUCUCAUGACGCGAUGCAUGUCGAAGGUCCAAGGGCAUGUGGAAAUGGAAUCUGUCUUCCUGACCUGAGUAUUAUCUCUAUGUGGGAGCAAAGGAGAGAGCCCUGGACUCUGGAGAGUGAAGGGAAAAUAG